CCUACGUGGGACAGCAGUGAGGAAUAUUGGUCACUGGGCGCGAGCCUGAACCAGCAAAGUCGCGUGAGGGAAGACGGUCCUAUGGAUUGUAAACCUCUUUUGUCGGGGAGCCAAAGACGCCACGCGUGGCGUUACGAGAGUACCCGAAGAAAAAGCAUCGGCUAACUCCGUGCCAGCAGCCGCGGUAAUACGGAGGAUGCGCGCGUUAUCCGGAUUUAUUGGGUUUAAAGGGUGCGCAGGCGGAAUGUCAAGUCAGCGGUAAAAUUGAGGGGCGCACCCUCUUCGUGCCGUUGAAACUGGUUUGCUGGAGUGAGUGAGAGGUAAGCGGAAUGCGUGGUGUAGCGGUGAAAUGCAUAGAUAUCACGAAGAACUCCGAUUGCGAAGGCAGCAUACCGGCGCGCAACUGACGCUCAUGCACGAAAGUGUGGGUAGCGAACAGGAUUAGAUACCCUGGUAGUC
rnacentral:rRNA from 1 species